CACGUAGGGCGCGAGCGUUGUCCGGAAUUAUUGGGCGUAAAGAGCUCGUAGGCGGCCUGUUGCGUCCGCUGUGAAAGCCCGGGGCUUAACCCCGGGUCUGCAGUGGAUACGGGCAGGCUAGAGGUAGGUAGGGGAGAAUGGAAUUCCCGGUGUAGCGGUGAAAUGCGCAGAUAUCGGGAGGAACACCGGUGGCGAAGGCGGUUCUCUGGGCCUUACCUGACGCUGAGGAGCGAAAGCGUGGGUAGCAAACAGG
rnacentral:rRNA from 1 species